AUUGAACGCUGGCGGCAUGCUUUACACAUGCAAGUCGGACGGCAGCACAGAGAAGCUUUCUUCUUGGGUGGCGAGUGGCGAACGGGUGAGUAAUAUAUCGGAACGUACCGAGUAAUGGGGGAUAACUAAUCGAAAGAUUAGCUAAUACCGCAUAUUCUCUGAGGAGGAAAGCAGGGGACCUUCUGGCCUUUCGUUAUUCGAGCUGCCGAUAUCUGAUUAGCUAGUUGGUGGGGUAAAGGCCUACCAAGGCGACGAUCAGUAGCGGGUCUGAGAGGAUGAUCCGCCACACUGGAACUGAGACACGGCCCAGACUCCUACGGGAGGCAGCAGUGGGGAAUUUUGGACAAUGGGCGCAAGCCUGAUCCAGCCAUGCCGCGUGUCUGAAGAAGGCCUUCGGGUUGUAAAGGACUUUUGUCAGGGAAGAAAAGGCUGUUGCUAAUAUCGACAGCUGAUGACGGUACCUGAAGAAUAAGCACCGGCUAACUACGUG
rnacentral:rRNA from 1 species